ensembl:ncRNA mir-3 mir-3 stem loop
GAUCCUGGGAUGCAUCUUGUGCAGUUAUGUUUCAAUCUCACAUCACUGGGCAAAGUGUGUCUCAAGAUC